rnacentral:rRNA from 1 species
AAUUAUUGGGCGUAAAGCGUCCGUAGGUUUUUUGCUAAGUCUGGAGUUAAAUGCUGAAGCUCAACUUCAGUCCGCUUUGGAUACUGGCAAAAUAGAAUUAUAAAGAGGUUAGCGGAAUUCCUAGUGAAGCGGUGGAAUGCGUAGAUAUUAGGAAGAACACCAAUAGGCGAAGGCAGCUAACUGGUUAUAUAUUGACACUAAGGGACGAAAGCGUGGGGAGCAAACAGGAUUAGAUACCCUGGUAGUCCACGCCGUAAACGAUGAUCAUUAGUUGGUGGAAUAAUUUCACUAACGCAGCUAACGCGUUAAAUGAUCCGCCUGAAUAGUAUGCUCGCAAGAGUGAAACUUAAAGGAAUUGACGGGAACCCGCACAAGCGGUGGAGCAUGU